rnacentral:snoRNA from 1 species
CAACCUUUGCACACUCUGGCCCUUACCGUCCCUUCCCGCCUUCGGGCUUGGAUUGGACCUUUAUCCCCCGUGGUAUAGGCUUAUUUUUCGCAAAGAAGAUAAAUCUCCGACCCGCUACUCACCGCGGUAACCUCUGUGGCAGGCUUGCUUGCCCUUGUGGUUACAGUGGUCCAUGUUUUCGGUCAACAU